rnacentral:rRNA from 1 species
AUGGUGGGCGCCAAAUGUCAUGGUAUUCUCACGGGGGGUAUUGUAAGACGACAUAUGCCACAAGGGCUUAGUGUGAGGGUAAGACUGCUGCUGAUAGGACCGGGAGCGGGUAUGCGAGUAGCAGGCGGUGGUUUACCCAGCUUCGGAGCUCUCAGGAGAGAUAAUACUCCUAUUGCUGCAUGUUUGAGUGUAUCUGAUAUAUCUAGUAUAGAGUUGCUCAUGGAGCUGUAUCUGGAAACAGUGCCACAGGCAUCUGGUUUCGUAUAUGCAUGUAUGUGGUAUGGUGGCCGUUGCUCUUGGCCGAAUGGGUGUGCCUGGGACAUCGAUGGAGGCUUGCUAGCUAGCUUAUAUAGUGUGGAGUGGUCAUGGGACAUGCGUUGGUUGUAA